AUGUUGCCGUACCUGUACAUAUAUCUUUCCAUAUCGGGCCCACACUUGGGGUAUCUUUACGAGGAUCAUUCAAACUCUUUAUUCAGCUCCGGGCUGUGGCUCUUGAAGAAGCUCAAGAACACACACUACAUUCAUCAGCUUACCUUCACCAAUGAUCCAGAUCUUCAAAAUACGUUUUUUACAAGCUGUGUAUAGUACUGAAUUCCUGUAUUUAAUGCACUUAGCUUAGCCAUCAGGUGUUAAGCUUCCUUGAAUCUCGGAUGGUUCCUCAGGGAGGGCAGAUUUGUGGGUUUUUGGUUUUUAGGGUUUAACGAUUGGUUUGCUCCUGGAGGUUGUGUUUGUGCUGGGACAACAUUUUCCACCUUCUAUUUGCACUGGGAUGACUGCGUUUUAAAACUGUUGAGGGUGAGAUUUACACCUGCAAAAAGAUAUAAGCUUCUAAUUGGAUUGAGAGAGAGAGGGAAUGGCUUAAAUUCGGAGUGAUCAAGGAGGGCAUGUUUGAGGACCUGAGCUUGGCCAACAAGCAGCUCCGGUUUGUUUUGAUAUUUUUAAUGGUGUGCUUGCUCUUGAAUCGGCAAGAGAUGGUCCGGCAGCUGCUCAAUCAGCUCAAAGUCUUGGUUGAUGAGUGCAAGAGGACCUUCCGCCAUGGGUAAUGGAAAGGGAAACAGUUAUUGGGAAAAAGAAUUGCCAUCAAAUUUUGACAGAAGUGGGACUGAGAAAUUUAAUCGUGCCAAUUACUGCUGAAACAGUUCCUGCCGCAACGCGUGGGCUUAUUAUGUCGUAUAGUCUAUAAUGGUUAUUUAACUCUUCAUUUUGCUCUCACAUUAAAAACGGAUCAGCUUUAUUCUCCACAUUAUGUCUUAAUGAAAUUGGAUGAUCGUGAGCAUAACAUUGAUUUUUGUGGAGCAUAACAUGUAAAAUAAGAAUGCAAAAUUUACCCACUAAAUAUUUUCAAUACGGAUACCCACAUGUUUGGAUAGGUUUGGAUAUGAAGUUGAAUAUGAAAAACGGAAACCACCCUUAA